rnacentral:rRNA from 1 species
UACGUAGGGGGCGAGCGUUGUCCGGAUUUAUUGGGCGUAAAGAGCGUGUAGGCGGCCGCACAGGUCCGUUGUGAAAACUGGAGGCUUAACCUCCAGACGUCGAUGGAAACCGUGCGGCUAGAGUCCGGAAGAGGAGAAUGGAAUUCCUGGUGUAGCGGUGAAAUGCGCAGAUAUCAGGAAGAACACCCGUGGCUAAGGCGGUUCUCUAGUACGGUACUGACGCUGAGACGCGAAAGCGUGGGGAGCGAACAGG